rnacentral:rRNA from 1 species
CGUAACAAGGUUUCCGUAGGUGAACCUGCGGAAGGAUCAUUGUGGAACCUUUGCACCGCAGANAGACCCGUUAACACGUUUUUACACACGCCCGGGGCGGGGGCCCGUCUCCCGCCCCACCCUCGGUCGGGGGGAACCGCAGGCCCGGGCGCGCCCUGAGCGCGCUCGUGCGCCGGACACCGCGGCCCCUCGAUCGGGCAACGCACCCCGGCGCGGAAAGCGCCAAGGAAGCAUACACAGAAGCGAUCCCCCCUCGGCCCGGGACUCGGGCUCGUUGGGGGGCCGUCGUGAUUGGUUUAUCCAGAACCUAAACGACUUUCGGCAACGGAUAUUUAGGCUCUCGCAUCGAUGAAGAACGUAGCAAAAUGCGAUACUUGGUGUGAAUUGCAGAAUCCCGUGAAUCAUCGAGUCUUUGAACGCAAGUUGCGCCCGAAGCCAUCAGGCCGAGGGCACGCCUGCCUGGGCGUCUUGCACUUGUCGCCCCCCAACCCUCGAUCGUCCCCACGAGGGACCGGGGGCCGGGGGCGGACAUUGGCCUCCCGCGGGCGCAUGUGCGCGCGGCUGGCCCAAAAACCGUCCCGAGGCGUCCCGCGCCACGACAAUCGGUGGUCGCACACGAGCUCCCUGUCGUGCGCGUGGCGUCGCCAUCGGGAAGGAAGACCCGCGACACUCGAUCGUGACCCCAGGUCAGGCGGGACCACCCGCUGAGUUUAAGCAUAUCAAUAA